AACGAACGCUGGCGGCAUGCCUAACACAUGCAAGUCGAACGGGAUCCAGGCUUCGGCCUGGUGAGAGUGGCGGACGGGUGAGUAACGCGUGGGAACCUGCCCAAUGGUCUGGGAUAACCGCGGGAAACUGCGGCUAAUACCGGAUAAGCCCGAGAUGGGAAAGAUUUAUCGCCGAUGGAGGGCCCGCGUCAGAUUAGGUAGUUGGUGGGGUAAUGGCCUACCAAGCCUACGAUCUGUAGCNGGUCUGAGAGGAUGAUCAGCCACACUGGACUGAGAUACGGCCCAGACUCCUACGGGAGGCAGCAGUGGGGAAUAUUGGACAAUGGGGGCAACCCUGAUCCAGCAAUGCCGCGUGAGUGAUGAAGGCCUUAGGGUUGU
rnacentral:rRNA from 1 species